UUAAAAAUUAUAUAUAAUAUUAAUUAACUAUAAAUUAAAUAGAUGUAUCUCAAAUAUCUUCUCAAUCUCAUGGAGAAUCCUUGACCCUCUCAAAUCCAAAUGUAUCUCAAAUAUCUUCUCAAUCUCAUGGAUAAUCCUUGAUCCUCUCAAAUCCAAAUGUAUCUCAAAUAUCUUCUCAAUCUCAUGGAGAAUCCUUGACCCUCUCAAAUCCAA